AGUGAACGCUGGCAGGUAGGCCUAACACAUGCAAGUCGAACGGCAGCANANGAGAGCUUGCUCUCUGGGUGGCGAGUGGCGGACGGGUGAGGAAUGCAUCGGAAUCUACUCUUUCGUGGGGGAUAACGUAGGGAAACUUACGCUAAUACCGCAUACGACCUACGGGUGAAAGCCGGGNGACCUUCGGGCCUGGCGCCGAAAGAAUGACCGAUGCCCGAUUAGCUAGUUGGCGGGGUAAGAGCCCACCAAGGCGACGAUCGGUAGCUGGUCUGAGAGGAUGAUCAAGCACACUUGGAACUGAGACCCGGNCCAACUCUACGGGAGGCACAGUGGGGGAUAUUGGCAAUGGGCGCAAGC
rnacentral:rRNA from 1 species